AACGCACAUUGCGCCUUCCGGUAUUCCGGGAGGCAUGCCUGUUUGAGCGUCAGUGAAUCCUCACCUAAGAGACUAGUUCUCCUAUUGGUGGACUUGAGCAUAUGUGAUGAGACUCUCAUCACUAGCUUGAAAUGAAUUGGCGUGUUAGUUUCGCAGUCUUAUGGUAUAGGUUAGUCCAAUUUGUAAGACCUAGAAGCACACCGCAUGCCCAUUCGGAUUUCUCUAGUAGAAGUCAAUAGUUGAAACUUUUGACCUCAAAUCAGGUAGGGAUACCCGCUGAACUUAA
rnacentral:misc_RNA from 1 species